GAUGAACGCUGGCGGCGUGCCUAAUACAUGCAAGUCGAACGAGGUGCUUUUGUAGCAAUACGAGAGUAUCCUAGUGGCGAACGGGUGAGUAACGCGUGGAUGACCUGCCCCAAAGUGUGGGAUAACAGUCCGAAAGGAUUGCUAAUACCUCAUGUGGUUAUCGGUUUUAGAAAGCGAUAACUAAAGCAGCAAUGCGCUUUGGGAGGGAUCCGCGUCCCAUCAGCUAGUUGGUGAGGUAACGGCUCACCAAGGCGACGACGGGUAGGGGACCUGAGAGGGUGGCCCCCCACAAUGGAACUGAAACACGGUCCAUACACCUACGGGUGGCAGCAGUAGGGAAUAUUGCUCAAUGGGCGAAAGCCUGAAGCAGCAACGCCGCGUGUGCGAUGAAGGCCUUCGGGUCGUAAGCACUUUCUAAGAGAUGAGAAAGGACAGUAUCUUAGGAAUAAGUCUCGGCUAACUACGUG
rnacentral:rRNA from 1 species